UACAGAGGAGCCAAGCGUUGUCCGGAUUGACUGGGCGUAAAGCGCACGCAGGCGGGGGUGCGCGUGGGGUGUGAAAUCUGGCCGCUUAACGGCCAGGCGCCAUCCCAUACGGCACGCCUGGAGCCUUGCAGAGGUCGGUGGAAUUGCCGGUGUAGUGGUGAAAUGCGUAGAGAUCGGCAGGAACACCCAGGGGGAAACCAGCCGACUGGGCAAGUGCUGACGCUGAGGUGCGAAAGCGUGGGGAGCAAACGGG
rnacentral:rRNA from 1 species